AUGAUGUAACAAUCUCUCCGCGCAUGUUCACAGUCUCCGGGUGGACGGUGUUUUCCUCUCCGCUCAGAGCUGAAGUGGGUCGGCUGUGUGUUCGCGAAAGACUUUCGUCUCUUCCGUCGGGAUCACUGUCUGCGGGCCGAAGAUAUCACUUUCCCAUCGUUAGACCUGCAGUGAGAGAUUUAUUGGAAGAAAAACCACGACUGAAGACAUGGGAACAGCAACAAGUGAACCAGCCCGAGAACUGAGAGCAUAAACAGGAGAGAACCCAUCUGACUCAGGGUUUCCAUUGAUUCAGUCAGGAGAAAGUCUGGUUAAAAAUGACAAAGAAUUAAUCUAUGGGAAUCUCGAACACCACACACCAGUUUUGCUGUCUCUAUCCAGAUAUUUAAGAAGUGGAACAAAGGAUUUCCUCGAUCUUCCUUCCUGCUCAGACUGUGGGGAGGGAUUCACUCAAUCAUCUGACUGACUGGCACGCCUGACAUUUUAAACAAGGGAGGAAACCCAUUCAUCUGAAGGGACAUCACCAAGUUGACACUGUGACGAGGCCAUUCACCUACUCUGUGAGUGAGAAGGGAUUCAGUCGGUCUUCCCACCUGUGGACACACCAGUAUAUCACACCGGGCAGAGGCUGGUCAUCUGCUGAAUUUGUGGGGAAGGAUUCACACGGUCAUCUGACCUAAUGGCUCACCAGGGAGUUCACACUCGGGAGCGGCCAUACACCUGCUCAGACUG